UGACGUCACCGCCUGCCGCCCAGAACCGCGGUCGCCAUGGUGACCCCGGGCGGCACAGAGGCGCUGCACUCCAGACCAGCUGCUGGAGCCCUCGGAGCGAGACCACGGACGGACAGCGCUCAGACCCGCGUGCUACCUUCGCUUCUCCCAGCCGGGGCCGGAGCCGGGGAUGCAGACGAUGGAGAGCGGGAAGCUGUGUGUCUCUGCGCCCGUCAGCCGGGAUCGCGUCGUGACCCGGUUCCCCAAGUGGUACACACCUGAGGCCUGUCUCCAACUGAAGGACCACUGGCACGUCCAGGUGAGGAACGCCUGCCAGGACCGCAGCGCCAGGAAUGUUGGGCUUAAAAUCUCAAAGGUGGUGGUUGUUGGGGAUUUGCAUGUGGGAAAGACAUGUCUUAUUAACAGGUUUUGUAAGGACGUGUUUGACAGGGACUACAAGGCUACAAUAGGGGUGGAUUUUGAAAUCGAGAGGUUUGAAAUAUCUGGGAUUCCCUACACGCUGCAGAUCUGGGACACGGCGGGACAGGAGAAGUUCAAGUGCAUCGCCUCCGCCUAUUACAGAGGAGCGCAGGUGAUCAUCACAGUGUUUGACCUGGCGGAUAUCCGGACCCUGGAGAACACGCGACAAUGGCUGGAAGAUGCUCUAAGGGAGAAUGAACCCAACUCGUCUUUUGUCUUUCUGGUCGGAACCAAGAAGGAUUUACUGUCAGCAGCAGAGUGCGAGAGGACAGAGAGGGACGCGGUCAGACUGGCGGCUGAGAUGAAGGCAGAGUUCUGGUCUGUCUCUGCCAAGACAGGAAUUGACAGAGGAUCCACGGAACAGCCCCAGGGCAGGGGGCCAGAGGGGCUGGCCUGCUGCUAGAGAGGAGGGGAGAGGAGGAAAGAGGUGGAGGGAGGCAGGGAGCAGACAGGAAGGAAGAGGCUGUGAGAGACAGGAGAGCAUGAGGAGCAGAGGGAGUGAGCUGGAGGACCAGAGGUUUCAAGAGAGAGAGGGAGGGAGAAAGGCUGGAGGAGGAAAGGAGACCCCGUGAGCUCUAACCCUGCAGAUGCUAACAACAGGACGUGGAGAUACGUGGAGAGCACCCUCGUCCCUUCCUGUCCUGGAGCGGAGGUGAAGACUGGGCGGACACCGCUGGAAAACUGUUAAUGCAGAUUCAGGGGUAGCAAGUCUCUAAUCCUGCCACCUCUUCUCAGUCACCAGCAGCGCAUCCGACUGGACUCUAGGCCCUGAGAGUUUGGCACUGGAUUCUGCACAGUUGCUCCGGCUUUGUCAUCUCCAGAAGCUCAGCUCUGUGUGUGCUUCUGUCCCUCAGGACACAAACGUCUGAAUAUCGAGACUAACACUUGGUGAUGUGUAUCUGAAAGCUUGAUCAUGAUGAAUCAGUAAUUGCAGUAUCUCUGAGAUCACACACUGGGCAGAGAGUGGGUUAGGGUGACCCCUGUGAGUUGUGCUGCUCCCUGCAGACAGUCCUCUCUUCCUCAGCACUCUCAGCGUGUACUGACACCAGUACACAGGGCCUGGCUGCAGUCCCCGUACAGGGCAGGGGAGCCACUCCAGGGGUUAGCCAACUCAGCACAAGGGAGGACGAAUGAAAUAUCCAGCAGCUGCUUGGCUGGUAUAUGGAGUUCCGCAGCUACAAGUGGGCAUCAGUUCCAGACAAACUGAUGAUCAAACAAACAUGGCUGCAGUUUCUGUUCCCUGAACCGGCUGUGGGAUACCAGCCCAGCACACCCAUCAAGUCCAGCAGGUCCAGCAGACCCAGCAGUCCAAACAGGUCCAGCAGACCCAGUAGUCCCAACAGUCCCAGCAGACCCAGCUGGCCCAACAGGUUCAGCAGACCCAGCAGACCCAACAGUCCCAGCAGACCCAACAGUUUCAGCAGACCCAACAGACCCAACAGUCCCAGCAGACCCAACAGGUUCAGCAGA